GUUAAGCGACUAAGCGUACACGGUGGAUGCCCUGGCAGUCAGAGGCGAUGAAGGACGUGCUAAUCUGCGAUAAGCGUCGGUAAGGUGAUAUGAACCGUUAUAACCGGCGAUUUCCGAAUGGGGAAACCCAGUGUGUUUCGACACACUAUCAUUAACUGAAUCCAUAGGUUAAUGAGGCGAACCGGGGGAACUGAAACAUCUAAGUACCCCGAGGAAAAGAAAUCAACCGAGAUUCCCCCAGUAGCGGCGAGCGAACGGGGAGCAGCCCAGAGCCUGAAUCAGUGUGUGUGUUAGUGGAAGCGUCUGGAAAGGCGUGCGAUACAGGGUGACAGCCCCGUACACAAAAAUGCACAUGCUGUGAGCUCGAUGAGUAGGGCGGGACACGUGGUAUCCUGUCUGAAUAUGGGGGGACCAUCCUCCAAGGCUAAAUACUCCUGACUGACCGAUAGUGAACCAGUACCGUGAGGGAAAGGCGAAAAGAACCCCGGCGAGGGGAGUGAAAAAGAACCUGAAACCGUGUACGUACAAGCAGUGGGAGCACGCUUAGGCGUGUGACUGCGUACCUUUUGUAUAAUGGGUCAGCGACUUAUAUUCUGUAGCAAGGUUAACCGAAUAGGGGAGCCGAAGGGAAACCGAGUCUUAACUGGGCGUUAAGUUGCAGGGUAUAGACCCGAAACCCGGUGAUCUAGCCAUGGGCAGGUUGAAGGUUGGGUAACACUAACUGGAGGACCGAACCGACUAAUGUUGAAAAAUUAGCGGAUGACUUGUGGCUGGGGGUGAAAGGCCAAUCAAACCGGGAGAUAGCUGGUUCUCCCCGAAAGCU
rnacentral:rRNA from 1 species